rnacentral:rRNA from 1 species
GAGAGGAGCUUGCUCUUCUUGGUAUGAGUUGCGAACGGGUGAGUAACGCGUAGGUAACCUGCCUUGUAGCGGGGGAUAACUAUUGGAAACGAUAGCUAAUACCGCAUAACAAUGGGUGACUCAUGUCAUUUAUUUGAAAGGGGCAAAUGCUCCACUACAAGAUGGACCUGCGUUGUAUUAGCUAGUAGGUGAGGUAACGGCUCACCUAGGCGACGAUACAUAGCCGACCUGAGAGGGUGAUCGGCCACACUGGGACUGAGACACGGCCCAGACUCCUACGGGAGGCAGCAGUAGGGAAUCUUCGGCAAUGGGGGCAACCCUGACCGAGCAACGCCGCGUGAGUGAAGAAGGUUUUCGGAUCGUAAAGCUCUGUUGUAAGUCAAGAACGAGUGUGAGAGUGGAAAGUUCACACUGUGACGGUAGCUUACCAGAAAGGGACGGCUAACUACGUGCCAGCAGCCGCGGUAAUACGUAGGUCCCGAGCGUUGUCCGGAUUUAUUGGGCGUAAAGCGAGCGCAGGCGGUUUGAUAAGUCUGAAGUUAAAGGCUGUGGCUCAACCAUAGUUCGCUUUGGAAACUGUCAAACUUGAGUGCAGAAGGGGAGAGUGGAAUUCCAUGUGUAGCGGUGAAAUGCGUAGAUAUAUGGAGGAACACCGGGUGGCGAAAGCGGCUCUCUGGUCU